GACGAACGCUGGCGGCGUGCUUAACACAUGCAAGUCGAACGGUAAGAGCCAGCUUUUGGGGGGUGCUCGAAUGGCGAACGGGUGAGUAACACGUGAGUAGCCUGCCGUUGACUUUGGGAUAACUUCAGGUAACUGGGGCUAAUAACGGAUAGGAGCUCCUGCUGCAUGGUGGGGGUUGGAAAGUUUCCGCGGGUGGAGAUGGACUCGCGGCUUAUCAGCUUGUUGGUGGGGUAGUGGCUUACCAAGGCUUUGACGGGUCUCCGGCAUGAGAGGGUGACCGCGCACAUGGGGACUGAGGUACGCACCAGUACCGUACGGGGGGCAGCAGUGGGGAAUAUUGCCCAGUGGGCGGACGCGUGAUGCAGCGACCUCGCGUGCGGAAUGACGGCCUUCGGGUGGUAAACCGCCUACGCUUGUGACGACGCGUGAGUGACGGUACUGGCUAAAGAAGCACCGGCUAACUACGUG
rnacentral:rRNA from 1 species